AACGGUCUAUACCUGCGGUACCUGCGGAGGGAUCAUUACAGAGUUUAGGGUCCCAGUGGCCCGAACCCUUUCAACUCCCUUGGUGUCUCUACCAUCCUGUUGCUUCGGCAGGCCCCAGUAGUGCCUGUCGGAGCCUUGCGAUAGAAUCUUUGUCAUGAAUGGCUUGGUCUGAUCUCUAGAAUAUAGAAUUUAAUUGAAAACUUUCAGCAACGGAUCUCU
rnacentral:misc_RNA from 1 species